UACGUAGGGGGCUAGCGUUGCUCGGAAUUAUUGGGCGUAAAGAGUGUGUAGGCGGUGCUUUAAGUUCGGUGUGAAAUCUUCCGGCUUAACUGGGAGGGUGCGCCGGAAACUGGAGUGCUCGAGCGUGGGAGAGGAAAGCGGAAUUCCUGGUGUAGCGGUGAAAUGCGUAGAUAUCAGGAGGAACACCUGCGGUGUAGACGGCUUUCUGGACCAUUGCUGACGCUGAGACACGAAAGCGUGGGUAGCAAACAGG
rnacentral:rRNA from 1 species